GAAGACGGACGUCGUCGCCGCGGCGACGGCGGGGAGCGAGAAUACGGCAGAGUUGUACUGCGUCUGUCGGACUCCCUAUGACACGUCCAGGUUUUACAUCGGCUGCGAUCGGUGCUUCAACUGGUUUCACGGUUCGUGCGUGAACGUGACGGAGAAGCAAGCGGAGGGCGUGAAGGAGUACUUCUGCCCGUCGUGCCGCGCGGACAGGGAGAGGGAGUCGGGUGUCGAGCUGUGUCACAUCUGCAGCCUGGCCAAGUCGAGUGACGACACAGCUAGGGGACGCUGCGUGUGCCUCCCGCCCGGCGAGGACUCGGUCGUCGAGGACGCACUUCUCGACUUCCGCGAGCCUUCCCCCGGAGAAGCCGAAAAGGUCGCCACCCCCAACGCUCCCGCCCCCCGGACGCCGGCACCGGAGUUGGGAGGUGUCGCCGGCAACGCGGCGGAGGAGAAGGAGGUUGGCGGUCGGGGACGCUAUUCGGCUGGCGGGCAGCUCUCUGCGUUCCAGGAGGAGGCGUUCUCGAAAGAGGACCCCGUCGUUCAGGACUUUGUCGAGGAGGAGGUCGACGUCGUCACGUUCGAGCAGGA